rnacentral:rRNA from 1 species
AGCGAACGCUGGCGGCAGGCCUAACACAUGCAAGUCGAACGAACUCUUCGGAGUUAGUGGCGGACGGGUGAGUAACACGUGGGAACGUGCCUUUAGGUUCGGAAUAACUCAGGGAAACUUGUGCUAAUACCGAAUGUGCCCUUCGGGGGAAAGAUUUAUCGCCUUUAGAGCGGCCCGCGUCUGAUUAGCUAGUUGGUGAGGUAAAGGCUCACCAAGGCGACGAUCAGUAGCUGGUCUGAGAGGAUGAUCAGCCACAUUGGGACUGAGACACGGCCCAAACUCCUACGGGAGGCAGCAGUGGGGAAUCUUGGGCAAUGGGCGAAAGCCUGACGCAGCCAUGCCGCGUGAAUGAUGAAGGUCUUAGGAUUGUAAAAUUCUUUCACCGGGGACGAUAAUGACGGUACCCGGAGAAGAAGCCCCGGCUAACUUCGUG